GAUAUUGCACAAUGGGGGGAACCCUGAUGCAGCGACGCCGCGUGAGUGAAGAAGUUAUUCGUAAUGUAAAGCUCUAUCAGCAGGGAAGAAGCAGACGGUACCUGACUAAGAAGCACCGGCUAAAUACGUGCCAGCAGCCGCGGUAAUACGUAUGGUGCAAGCGUUAUCCGGAUUUACCGGGUGUAAAGGGAGCGUAGACGGCAUAGCAAGCCAGAUGUGAAAUGUAUGGGCUUAACCCAUAGACUGCAUUUGGAACUGUUAAGCUAGAGUGUCGGAGAGGUAAGUGGAAUUCCUAGUGUAGCGGUGAAAUGCGUAGAUAUUAGGAGGAACACCGGUGGCGAAGGCGGCUUACUGGACGGCAACUGACGUUGAGGCUCGAAAGCGUGGGGAGCAAAC
rnacentral:rRNA from 1 species